CGGGUAGUCCUUCUUCGGAGGGGAAGCGGGGGCGGCGCCGCCGUGGGCGGCGGCCUUGAGGAGCAACUCCAGGGAUCUGAGCUUGGAAGGCCCGCCGGGGAAGAAUUUCCUCCAUAUGAGGUCCCCGGGUUUUUUCCCGGCGGCGUUGACGGCCUCGACGUCGGCGGAGGCGGCGAUAAGCAGAUUGACGGCGUCGACGGAGGAGGGUGCGCCGCCGGAGGCGGCGCAGUGGAGGGCCGUGAACCUGUCUGUUCCGCAGGCCCGGUUGACGUCGGCGGCACCGGUGGAGAGGAUGUACUCCAGUACGGCGGAGCUGCCGUACACGGCGGCGAUCAUGAGCGGGGUCCGCUCCUCGAAGGCCAUCCUCCGCCCCCAUCGCCCAUACCAGGGGGACGGCAGAUCUACGUCCAGACCUCCUCCCUCCACCGCGCGGCGGAAGCCCGAGAGGUCGUCCGCCGCCGCCAGCUCGAGCAGCACCGAUCCCUGCAGCUUCUUCCCCUUGCA
rnacentral:lncRNA from 1 species